AAUGAACGUUGGCGGCGUGGAUUAGGCAUGCAAGUCGUGCGCGAAUCGUAGCAAUACGAGGAGAGCGGCGAAAGGGAGAGGAACACGUGGGUACCUACCCUCGGACUCAGGAUAGCCAUGGGAAACUAUGGGUAAUACUGAAUAAUGUCUUCGGACCAAAGGUGUGAUUCCGUCUGUGGAGGGGCCCGCGUCCUAUUAGCUAGUUGGUGAGGUAACGGCUCACCAAGGCGAAGAUGGGUACGGGAUGUGAGAGCAUGAUCCCGCUCAUUGGGACUGAGACACUGCCCAGACACCUACGGGUGGCUGCAGUCGAGAAUCUUCGGCAAUGGGGGAAACCCUGACCGAGCGACGCCGCGUGCGAGAUGAAGGCCUUCGGGUUGUAAAUCGCUGUCAGUGGGGAGGAAGUGCAGGUGGGUUCUCCCAUCUGUUUGACCUAUCCGCAGAGGAAGGACGGGCUAAGUUCGUGCCAGCAGCCGCCGUAAAAC
rnacentral:rRNA from 1 species